ensembl:lncRNA
CGUUUAAGUCAGUAAUAUCUGCUGAAUGAGCUGCGAGGAGUAUCUGCUGUCAGUCUAGGUUUAGUUUUCGUAAUAUUACACCGAGCAGCGCAUUUAUAAGUCCUCUUUCAACACAUAUCCUCUUCCUGUACCUUGGCCAUCAGUGCGUCUUCGUUGCUCAGAGACAGCAGCGCAUCACAGGUGUGGUAAAUAAAGACGCGACUCUAAUUUCUUCACCUCACUCACCCACAUACACACACACACCAGACGUGUGAAGAGAGAGAGCAAACGUCCUCACUCUUCUCCGUCUUCUCGCUGUCCGCUGCAGAACACUUGCUCCUAUAAAGAGAACGGUGGAUACUGGCUUCAGCGCGCGAACAUCUGCUGCUACAGCAAUGCAGGAGUGAGGAGACGCGAUGUAUAGAGCAGUGAGGGAGCAAAACCCGGAGCGGAGUCCAGACUCUUCACCGGAAUGGAGUGCGGAGACCCUUGGAAACGACGCGUCAUAUAUGGACAUGGAAUGGAAAAAAAGGGGGAAGACACCGGAAGCAACAGUCUAUGGAAGGUCUACGUUGGAUUUCAUCUCCAAGAUUUCCAACAUGGUCUCAGACCUCACUGUAUAAUAUAUGCAGAUGUUUAGUGUUGUUUAUGCUUCAGAGAUGUGGGAAAUAAAUGUCUUAGCCUCUCGUCUUUUUUCUCGCCUUAAACAACUUGCUAAAUGCAUACCAUCUCGUCUGAGAAUCAAUCGCUCUCUGAAUUUCAUAUUUCCCUCCCGUUAGCAUUGCCGCUCUCUUACCACAUUAGUAUGGGGCCACUAAAGGACCGCAUUAAUACAACUCCAGAAAUAAAACAUAUGGAACAUCCUUGACUUGCAUUUUGUGAAGCCAGGCAAUCAAUAAGAACAGAAUUAUAGUGCAGUGAAGCGAGAGAUUUUAAUCUGGGACUAAAUAUCAUGCAGUGGAUUAGUUUUAGAUGCUUUCAUACCCCCAGUGUUCUUCAUGAAAUAUGGAUAAGGCAGGGAGAGGAUUAUGAAAAAUAAAGGCAUUUUCCAAAACCUGCCUCCACAAGACUGAGAUCAAAAAUGAGAGAUAAUGGGCAGCUAAAGGAUUUCUCCAUGCUGUUCGGCAGCAGAUGAAGCUUCUCGUCCCCCGGUUUGGGUUCUAGAUUAAAGGGAAGCCCCCCUGGUACGAUACCUUUCAGCAGUGACAGGGCACUUCCUCAAGAGACUCUGUCUUCCUCUCUCUGGGGCAUAUCUCAUGGUCACUCCUGCUAUGAUGAGCUAAGAAGCUUUUAUAGAGGGAGGAAAAAAACACACAAAAAACUGCAAACGUGCAAGCAUCAUUUACAUACAGGAAGAUUAUAAAGGUGACAUUGAUACAGCACUGAUACGGUGUAAUCCUUCCCAAGUCCUUGGACAAGCUGUUUCCUGUGUGCUUGUUUCAAGGAGGCAUUUCAACCUUCUUGGCUAAAGUCUGUGAAAAGACGAGGAUGUAAUUAGGGCCCCUUUUUUCCUGUGUGAUCUAACAGUACAGUUAUAAUGGGAAAUCUGUGUUAGUUCCAUGCAGCUUGUGGGCUGUAACUGCUUCACAGUAUUACAUGAAAGAGGAUGAUGCGUAUUAAUAUUUAUGAGGAUGCAAACACGAGGCUUUUUUGGAAUGUAUAAGGCCUUUCAGCCCUUGUCACCUACACGCGUGUCUUGCCCUGGGUGAAACAAACAACCUUUUGGCUGGUGUGUGCGAUUUGUUUUCGUUCGUAUGUCUGUGUGUGAAUGUGCAUAUAAAGUGCUAUAAUAAAGCGCAUAUAAUCAGUGGCUACCAGCAUUAAGAAAUUUUGUGUGAAACUUGAUUUUGCCAUGCUACAAACUACCCAGUAAGCACAGCUACAGUCAAG